AACGAACGCUGGCGGCAGGCUUAACACAUGCAAGCCGAGCGCCCCGCAAGGGGAGCGGCAGACGGGUGAGUAACGCGUGGGAAUCUACCCAUCUCUACGGAAUAACGCAUGGAAACGUGUGCUAAUACCGUAUACGUCCUUCGGGAGAAAGAUUUAUCGGAGAUGGAUGAGCCCGCGUUGGAUUAGCUAGUUGGUGGGGUAAAGGCCUACCAAGGCGACGAUCCAUAGCUGGUCUGAGAGGUUGAUCAGCCACACUGGGACUGAGACACGGCCCAGACUCCUACGGGAGGCAGCAGUGGGGAAUAUUGGACAAUGGGCGCAAGCCUGAUCCAGCCAUGCCGCGUGAGUGAUGAAGGCCCUAGGGUUGUAAAGCUCUUUCACCGGUGAAGAUAAUGACGGUAACCGGAGGAGAAGCCCCGGCUAACUUCGUGCCAGCCGCCGCAGUAAAAC
rnacentral:rRNA from 1 species